AUGGUGAGGACGCUUUUCACCACCUGGAUCUCUAUAGGAGGUCGUUGCCCGAGGGCGUUGGUGCCCGGCCAGCGUGGGAGCAGGCUCCAACUCCGGCACGGGCUCCAAGUAUGGCGCUUUGUCGGCUGCCUCAGGACGCUGUUCAUCCGGCACUUGCGACCACACCAACUACUCCGAGCUCGAGCCCACGCCGUCCGAGUUGUCCCAUAA
rnacentral:rRNA from 1 species